GGUGGCUGCUGUCCGCGUGGCUUCCUUUACCAGGUGGUGAGUGGCUUUCUUUACCAGGUGUCCAAAAAAGGCGUGAGUUGGUUUAGCUACAGUAGACAUGGAUCGGUUAUAGAGUACAUUUUAGCAACUCCAGUUGCCUUUACAAUGUGACAUUCGAAGAAGAGGUUCAGGGCAAUAUCGUCGCUCCAUUGAUAUACAAGGCCAGAAGCAGGCAGUGGGGCGUAAAUUUUGCUCGUUCCAUAGGCCACCCAUUCCCGUCCCCUUCUGAUUAUUCGAUUAUCCAUCAAACCGAAUAGCUCGUAUUCACAGCUUUCUAUCUCACUGAUUUUUUGGAGGAAACUACUUAUUGACCUUAUUUCUGAAAAGAUUUGGAAUUCAGAGACCUUAUUCACUGCCUGAGGCUUUAUGUCGCCCCUGCACCUGGGAGAAUGGGUUAUGUUGCAGCUGCUGAGAGGUGGCAUCUGUCUCUCCCUAACUGUUUCUGAGGUUUACUGAACAUAUUUCUUAAGAUAUUGACUAUGGUGUGGGCUGGUAGCCAAGUUACUAAGCUUAUCCGAGCAGGGUGGUUAUAAAGUUGGUUAGGCUACAUUAUCAUGAGAUGAUUCCCCUCUGAUGCUGUACUGAAGCAAGUGAAAAGCUUUUCUAGCUGUGAUGGUAAUUGAAAAGUAUAUUGUGUCAUUUUACCGUGACACUGGCUUGAUGGAUGUCAAAACUGAUCUCCAGGAUUUCAUGGCAAUAGCUGGGUUUUGUUUUGGACUGGCUUUCAUGGUCUUCCUUGUGCUGACAUUGCUCUGGCCAUAAAGUUUCUCACAACUUUUGCAUCCAGUUUCCCGCUGAAAGAACUCUUCUGGUGAUUCCAAUAUCAUUUAAGUAGCCAACAAACGUGGCGUAUUUGUUAAAAGACUCCACCUCGCUAACAUUUUCUUUUUAUGUGCUAAUUGUGUUUGGCUAGGAGGUUAUAGGAGGUUAUUUGAAAUAAUUACUGUAACACCUUUUAUAAUAUAAUGUAUGUGAGAUAAAAAUUUAAUUAAAAAAUAUGUUUACAAAGCAAGUAAAAUAAUAUUUAAGAAAAAUUUGAUAUCCAAACACAAGCAACGUUGACAUGAGUGUACUUAUCAAGCAUUGCCUUUCUUGUACGAAAAAAGUCUGGAACAAUCCUAUAAGCAUACUCAUUAUAAUAAAAUAUCAGAUUCUACCUACCUACCUGACGCAUAGCGUCAGGGCAGAAAACCUAGUCUAUAUAAAAGGGGGAACGUCCACUUUCUACAGUGCAGCAUGGGCCGGUUUCAGCGUAAUUCGGAUGACUUCAUGGGGUAUUUUGGUCUUUCUCUGCCAAUUAUUAAUGUGUUGCUCUCUGCCAAUUCGAUCCAAGCUGCGGGAAAGGAAAGAUUUACAAGUCCACAAUUGCGGCUGGACUUCAAUUUGCUACCAAGGAAAGGAAAAGUCAACACAGGAGCUUUUCCCCUCAAUGGCUUGCAAUAGCCUACGAGAAUGUUUCCUUUACAAGUCCACAAUUGCGGCUGGACUUCAAUUUGCUACCAAGGAAAGGAAAAGUGAACACAGGAGCUUUUCCCCUCAAUGGCUUACAAUAGCCUACGAGAAUGUCUUUCCCUUAUUAUUAUUAAUUAUUAACAUCUAAUCUAAUCUAAAAUAUAUAAAAAGAGCAACGCCCAUUUGCUACAGUGCAGCCAUGGGCCGAUUUCGACGGUACUUCGAAUGACUUCAUGGGGUAUUUUGAUCUUUCUAAUGUGGCAUAAAGGUCAAAUUUGUGGCUCCUGAAUUUUCUGAUAUUGACUUUACAUUUUCUUUCUCUAUAAUGCCCUUGGUGGUCAGGUUUUGUCCGUAAA